rnacentral:rRNA from 1 species
UACGAAGGGGGCUAGCGUUGUUCGGAAUAACUGGUCGUAAAGCGCAUGUAGGCGGAUCUUUAAGUCAGAGGUGAAAUCCCAGGGCUCAACCCCGGCAGUGCCUUUGAUACUAGAGAUCUGGAGUCUGGGAGAGGUGAGUGCAAUUCCGAGUGUAGAGGUGAAAUUCGUAGAUAUUCGGAGGAACACCAGUGGCGAAGGCGGCUCACUGGCCCAAGACUGACGCUUAGAUGCUAAAGCGUGGCGAGCAAACAUG